rnacentral:rRNA from 1 species
AUUGAACGCUGGCGGCAUGCUUUACACAUGCAAGUCGAACGGUAACAGGCCGCAAGGUGCUGACGAGUGGCGAACGGGUGAGUAAUGCAUCGGAACGUGCCCAGUCGUGGGGGAUAACUACUCGAAAGAGUAGCUAAUACCGCAUACGAUCUAUGGAUGAAAGCGGGGGACCGUAAGGCCUCGCGCGAUUGGAGCGGCCGAUGUCAGAUUAGGUAGUUGGUGGGGUAAAGGCUCACCAAGCCAACGAUCUGUAGCUGGUCUGAGAGGACAACCAGCCACACUGGGACUGAGACACGGCCCAGACUCCUACGGGAGGCAGCAGUGGGGAAUGGUGGACAAUGGGCGCAAGCCUGAUCCAGCAAUGCCGCGUGCAGGAAGAAGGCCUUCGGGUUGUAAACUGCUUUUGUACGGAACGAAACGGCUCUGGUUAAUACCCGGGGCUAAUGACGGUACCGGAAGAAUAAGCACCGGCUAACUACGUG